UGAUCUUUGAGGUCCCUUCCAACCUAGAAGAUUCUGUGAUUCUGUGACUCAUGUAGGAGAUGAUUUGUUCUGCUGUAUGAAGAGAUCAGUUGAUGGAAAUACGCAGAGCAAGCAAACUACAAGAUCAGUGAGACACAAGAACUUCAGGAAAAGAAACAACAACUGUCCUAUCACGUUCAGCUCUGUCAGAUGCAGUGUAUGCAGAGAUGGGUAUUCAGAUUUCAUCUAAUCUUUGUACUUGAUUCUAAGCUGAAGAUUCUUCUGAAUAAAGUCCACGUUUCUAAGAACAAGCAGUUCAGCAGACUUACUUAACUGUAAAUGCAAGCACAGCAAAGUCCAGAAGAGUGAGCCUGGCACAGCCUCUUCGUUUCUCAAUUUUUAUUGGUCAUUAGAGCCCAUUAAGCCCAACUACAAGUCCCCUGUUAAGGACAGAAGACCGCUGCAGAUAUAAUGGCAAAUUCAAACGUGGGGAGACCCCUCGCAGUACUCUGUACACUGCCACCUGCCUACCACCAGCUUACUGUUGACAAUACUUC